GAAUUUCGUUGCUGGCAAAAUUGUUUUAUUUUUCUGAUUAUAGAUAAAAAAUUGCAACGGAUAGCAGGAAUAACU
rnacentral:sRNA from 1 species